UACGAAGGGGGCUAGCGUUGCUCGGAAUUACUGGGCGUAAAGCGCACGUAGGCGGUCUUCUAAGUCUUGUGUGAAAUCCCUCGGCUCAACUGAGGAACUGCACGGGAUACUGGAUGACUUGAGUUCGGGAGAGGGAAGCGGAAUUCCGGGUGUAGCGGUGAAAUGCGUAGAUAUCCGGAGGAACACCGGUGGCGAAGGCGGCUUCCUGGACCGAUUACUGACGCUGAGGCGCGAAAGCUAGGGGAGCAAACGGG
rnacentral:rRNA from 1 species